UACGUAGGCAGCAAGCGUUGUUCGGAGUUACUGGGCGUAAAGAGUGCGUAGGCGGUUCCGUAAGUUUGGUGUGAAAUCUCCCGGCUCAACUGGGAGGGUGCGCCGAAGACUGCGGUGCUUGAGUGUGGGAAAGGUAGGCGGAAUUCCUGGUGUAGCGGUGAAAUGCGUAGAUAUCAGGAGGAACACCGGUGGCGAAGGCGGUUCUCUGGGCAUGUCCUGACGCUGAGGAGCGAAAGCGUGGGGAGCGAACAGG
rnacentral:rRNA from 1 species